AAAGUGUUCUCUUUCCUGGUGGGCUGUUGACCCCUUGCAAGGCCAAGCUUACUUUGUAUUUUUGUAUUAUGGAGAGUAUGUGUUUGUUACCGUGAAAGGUUUUUUGCAUGUUUUUUUGUUGUCUUUUUAGUUAUAGUUGAUUAUGUAAUCUUAUGUCAUAAUUUUGGAUUUUACAUGUAUGUAUUUUACAUGUUUUAUAAUUUUUAAAAAUUUUAUCUCAAUUUGAGUAAAAUUUUUCGCAAUAUA